UCCGCAUCGUAGAUCAUGGCGGACACCCGUUAGGCCGGCUUAAUUUGAGGCGACGAUGUCCAGCCGAACAAGCGAUUAAUGAAGUCGUAGCACGUAAACGUUAGAAAGAAGAGCAUGAAUCGAGGGAUUACGCAUAAUGAGCUCAACAUCCCCGUUGUAUUAUCAUCUGAUAAGUUGGAUUUUAAAAUCUUUCUUCAAAUAAGACCAGUUCUUAUGAUGAAUCGCAGAAUUCUGCCCACAUACGUAUAUUGUGGAGUCCCCUUAUUCCAGUACGACAAGAGCAAGAGAAGGAGGAGGAGGUUAUAGAGAAAAGAAAAGAGGAAAAGAAGGAGAAGGGGGAAAUGGAUAAUAGCGGCGAAAUUUUGAUGGUGGAAUCUAUCAAUAUCACGGAGGUAGAAAAAACGCAAGAAGCUUUGGAGGGGCAAGAAGACGUAGAUGAAAGAGAGGAAAAGGGAGAGAAGGAGGAUGAGGAAGAGAAAGCUAGAUACUAGACUCAUGAUGUUGAAAAUAUUUAAUAUACGCCGCUUGAAUAAUACAAAUCAAUCGAAUCGAUAUUCCGGAGAUCUUUAUGCGAAUGAACAAAG